AGAGUGAUCGAAAGAUGAAAAGCACUUUGAAAAGAGGGUUAAAUAGUACGUGAAAUUGUUGAAAGGGAAGCGCUUAUGACCAGACUUGGGCCCGGUGGAUCAUCCAGCGUUCUCGCUGGUGCACUCCGCCGGGUUCAGGCCAGCAUCAGUUCGCCGCGGGGGAAAAAGGCUUCGGGAACGUGGCUCCUACGGGAGUGUUAUAGCCCGUUGCAUAAUACCCUGGGGCGGACKAGKUCGCGYCCGCAAGGAGGCUGGCGUAAUGGUCAUCAGCGA
rnacentral:rRNA from 1 species